GCUAAAAAGGGCGAUGGAGUUCGCCAUAAUUGCUAUGUAUAGCUGAUAACUCCUAUUGAAGC
rnacentral:ncRNA from 2 species